rnacentral:tRNA from 1 species
GGGGGUGUGGCGGAAUCGGUAGACGCUACGGACUUAAAAUCCGUUGGUCCACAAAGACCGUAAGGGUUCAAGUCCCUUCACCCCCA